CAGAAAGUUCAGAAAGUUCCUCUCGCUAACAAUAAGACAGAGGAGACGUGGUGAGGAAAAACUCCCUGAGACGAUAUGAGGAAGAAACCUCGAGAGGAACCGGACUCAGAAGGGAACCGUCCUCAUCUGGGUGACACCAGACAGUGCGAUUAUAAAUAAAUACACCCCUUCUAUUAUGUGCUGAUACUACAUGGUGAAAUAGUGCAGUUGUGUAAGCAGGAAGUUCAUUACAGUUUCUACAGGAAGUCUGUUGUGUUGAACUUCUCCACUGAUCACUGAUGGAGACUCGAGUGUGAAACAGUGUGUGGUAAUUGUAGUUCUAAACUGAACUGAACUGAAAACUGAACUGAGGUCCAAAGCAUCUUUAUGGUUUCAGAGGUAAUCGCCAGGAUCCUCUGGUACAUGUCUGUGUUUUGGUUUCUGUUAUCUGUGUAACUGUUCUGAGUUACAGGAUGUGAUAUUAUAUCUGCUGCUUCAGCUGCAAAAUAAGAACAAAACAUCUUUUAACUAUUAACGAGGUCAGUGAGUCAGAAAAUGGUGCAUGUUGGCAGAUUGUGUACAGACUAUGAACCUCUUCUUCUGUCUGAUUUUCUAGAACCAAACAUUACACUGUUAUUAUUAAAGACUCGGACAGAGGUUUUAUCUACAGGACGUGACGUCCUUUCUGAAUCCGUUUGUUGAUGCAGAUGGAAAUUUUCCUCCUGUUUUGAUCUCUUCAGCUGAGAAAUAUUUUAUAUUUUGACUAAAUAAUUUUUGCUCUGUGACUUGUGGGGUCUGGGAGCGGUCCACGGUGGUGUCUCGUGCUUUGGUAGGGUGUCGGAGUGGUCCACGGUGGUGUCUUGUGCUUUAGAAAGGUCUGGGAGCGGUCCAUGGUGGUGUCUCGGGCUUUGGUAGGGUGUCGGAGUG
ensembl:lncRNA